rnacentral:rRNA from 2 species
CGCGUGUGUGAAGAAGGCCUUAUGGUUGUAAAGCACUUUAAGCGAGGAGGAGGCUACUUUAGUUAAUACCUAGAGAUAGUGGACGUUACUCGCAGAAUAAGCACCGGCUAACUCUGUGCCAGCAGCCGCGGUAAUACAGAGGGUGCAAGCGUUAAUCGGAUUUACUGGGCGUAAAGCGCGCGUAGGCGGCUAAUUAAGUCAAAUGUGAAAUCCCCGAGCUUAACUUGGGAAUUGCAUUCGAUACUGGUUAGCUAGAGUGUGGGAGAGGAUGGUAGAAUUCCAGGUGUAGCGGUGAAAUGCGUAGAGAUCUGGAGGAAUACCGAUGGCGAAGGCAGCCAUCUGGCCUAACACUGACGCUGAGGUGCGAAAGCAUGGGGAGCAAACAGGAUUAGAUACCCUGGUAGUCCAUGCCGUAAACGAUGUCUACUAGCCGUUGGGGCCUUUGAGGCUUUAGUGGCGCAGCUAACGCGAUAAGUAGACCGCCUGGGGAGUACGGUCGCAAGACUAAAACUCAAAUGAAUUGACGGGGGCCCGCACAAGCGGUGGAGCAUGUGGUUUAAUUCGAUGCAACGCGAAGAACCUUACCUGGCCUUGACAUAGUAAGAACUUUCCAGAGAUGGAUUGGUGCCUUCGGGAACUUACAUACAGGUGCUGCAUGGCUGUCGUCAGCUC